GACGAACGCUGGCGGCGUGCUUAACACAUGCAAGUCGAACGGAAAGGCCCUGCUUUUGUGGGGUGCUCGAGUGGCGAACGGGUGAGUAACACGUGAGUAACCUGCCCUUGACUUUGGGAUAACUUCAGGAAACUGGGGCUAAUACCGGAUAGGAGCUCCUGCUGCAUGGUGGGGGUUGGAAAGUUUCGGCGGUUGGGGAUGGACUCGCGGCUUAUCAGCUUGUUGGUGGGGUAGUGGCUUACCAAGGCUUUGACGGGUAGCCGGCCUGAGAGGGUGACCGGCCACAUUGGGACUGCGAUACGGCCCAGACUCCUACGGGACGCAGCAGUGGGGAAUAUUGCACAAUGGGCGGAAGCCUGAUGCAGCAACGCCGCGUGCGGGAUGACGGCCUUCGGGUUGUAACCCGCUUUCGCCUGUGACGAAGCGUGAGUGACGGUAAUGGGUAAAGAAGCACCGGCUAACUACGUG
rnacentral:rRNA from 1 species